rnacentral:rRNA from 1 species
GAUGAACGCUGGCGGCGUGCCUAAUACAUGCAAGUCGAGCGAAUGGAUUGAGAGCUUGCUCUUAUGAAGUUAGCGGCGGACGGGUGAGGAACACGUGGGUAACAUGCCCAUAAGACUGGGAUAACUCCGGGAAACCGGGGCUAAUACCGGAUAACAUUUUGAACCGCAUGGUUCGAAAUUGAAAGGCGGCUUCGGCUGUCACUUAUGGAUGGACACGCGUCGCAUUAGCUUGUUGGUGAGGUAACGGCUCACCAAGGCAACGAUGCGUAGCCGACCUGAGAGGGUGAUCGGCCACACUGGGACUGAGACACGGCCCAGACUCCUACGGGAGGCAGCAGUAGGGAAUCUUCCGCAAUGGACGAAAGUCUGACGGAGCAACGCCGCGUGAGUGAUGAAGGCUUUCGGGUCGUAAAACUCUGUUGUUAGGGAAGAACAAGUGCGAGUUGAAUAAGCUGGCACCUUGACGGUACCUAACCAGAAAGCCACGGCUAACUACGUGCCAGCAGCCGCCGUAA